UACGUAGGGUGCAAGCGUUGUCCGGAAUUAUUGGGCGUAAAGAGCGCGUAGGCGGUCCGAUAAGUCGGCUGUGAAAGUCAGGGGCUCAACCCUUGGAAGCCGGCCGAUACUGUCGGACUAGAGUCCGGAAGAGGCGAGUGGAAUUCCCGGUGUAGCGGUGAAAUGCGCAGAUAUCGGGAGGAACACCAAUGGCGAAGGCAGCUCGCUGGGACGGUACUGACGCUGAGGCGCGAAAGCGUGGGGAGCAAACAGGG
rnacentral:rRNA from 1 species